AUGAUGCAAUGCGAAAAGUUCCCUGUAAUUCCAAAUGAAUAGACAAGAGUAGACAAGUGAACGAUAUAGUUAUAAAGGAACCAUAAUGAACUCUUUUACAUAAAUGGAAAAAGUUGUUCAAGGUGCAAGGCAUACAAAGUACCUAAGGUCUAGACACAGGGAAAAAACACAUGCCAUGGCAUGUGAGAUUAGCCAAAAUUGUUGCCAAUGUCAAUAGUUAAAGAUAAAAUUGAUAAAAUUAAAAAGGAAAUAUUAGGAACUUUUUUGGUAAUUUGACCAAAAAGAGAAAUAGCAAGACUUACCUGAAAUACCCUUUAAAUUAUUUCCAUAUUCCCAUUAGAAUAAGCACACUAUUGCUCAAUAAUACAGUGGACAAAAAAAAAUCUGAAUUGGUUGAUUGGUACUAAAGGAGAUGUAGACUAACAUGUGAGUCACAUUUGGAUAGAGAAAGGGGAAAAAAAAAAAAAGGGAGAAGAUUAUAGAAAGUAUCCAUAAUAUUUGAACGAUGAUAUCGGAAUUUAAUGUUGUAUGCUAAGUGUGUUUCUUAAUGUGACUGAUAUGGAUUAUGGAGUACCCAAAGCAUUCAAUUGCCUACUAUCUGAUUCUGAGUUACAAGAUACAUUUUCAUCCAAGAAUCAGAUUAUCACCAAGAAAGGCCCUCCUUGUAUUUCUCUCUUUUGAAAGAGGAGAAAAAAAUCAUAACCUAUUUUGCAAUCAAAAGGUCCAAAAACAACUAUAAAUAGGCCAAGGCAGACACCUAAUACCUUCACAUCUCAACAUUUUUAGGAGGGACCUCUAAAAUGAACAGGUCUCCUAUACAAGUGCAUCUGCUUCAUUUUAAACAAAU
rnacentral:misc_RNA from 1 species